rnacentral:rRNA from 1 species
AGUAAGGAAUAUUGGUCAAUGGAGGGAACUCUGAACCAGCCAUGCCGCGUGCAGGAAGACGGCCCUCUGGGUUGUAAACUGCUUUUAUUCGGGAAUAAACCUAGAUACGUGUAUUUAGCUGAAUGUACCGAAGGAAUAAGGAUCGGCUAACUCCGUGCCAGCAGCCGCGGUAAUACGGAGGAUCCAAGCGUUAUCCGGAUUUAUUGGGUUUAAAGGGUGCGUAGGCGGCUUAUUAAGUCAGGGGUGAAAGACGGUGGCUCAACCAUCGCAGUGCCCUUGAUACUGAUGAGCUUGAAUGGACUAGAGGUAGGCGGAAUGUGACAAGUAGCGGUGAAAUGCAUAGAUAUGUCACAGAACACCGAUUGCGAAGGCAGCUUACUAUGGUUUAAUUGACGCUGAGGCACGAAAGCGUGGGGAUCAAA